GAUGAACGCUGGCGGCGUGCCUAAUACAUGCAAGUCGAGCGAACAGACGAGGAGCUUGCUCCUCUGACGUUAGCGGCGGACGGGUGAGUAACACGUGGAUAACCUACCUAUAAGACUGGGAUAACUUCGGGAAACCGGAGCUAAUACCGGAUAAUAUAUCGAACCGCAUGGUUCAAUAGUGAAAGAGGGUUUUGCUGUCACUUAUAGAUGGAUCCGCGCCGCAUUAGCUAGUUGGUAAGGUAACGGCUUACCAAGGCAACGAUGCGUAGCCGACCUGAGAGGGUGAUCGGCCACACUGGAACUGAGACACGGUCCAGACUCCUACGGGAGGCAGCAGUAGGGAAUCUUCCGCAAUGGGCGAAAGCCUGACGGAGCAACGCCGCGUGAGUGAUGAAGGUCUUCGGAUCGUAAAACUCUGUUAUUAGGGAAGAACAAAUGUGUAAGUAACUAUGCACGUCUUGACGGUACCUAAUCAGAAAGCCACGGCUAACUACGUG
rnacentral:rRNA from 1 species